rnacentral:rRNA from 1 species
CUACGGGGUGCAGCAGUGGGGAAUAUUGCGCAAUGGGCGAAAGCCUGACGCAGCAACGCCGUGUGAGGGAUGAAGGCUUUCGGGUCGUAAACCUCUGUCAGAAGGGAAGAACGGGUAUUGGUCUGAUAGGCCUUUAUUUUGACGGUACCUUCAGAGGAAGCACCGGCUAACUCCGUGCCAGCAGCCGCGGUAAUACGGAGGGUGCAAGCGUUAUUCGGAAUUACUGGGCGUAAAGCGCACGUAGGCCGCUUUGUAAGUCAGGGGUGAAAUCCCACGGCUCAACCGUGGAACUGCCUUUGAAACUGCAGAGCUUGAAUCCUGGAGAGGGUGGCGGAAUUCCUGGUGUAGGAGUGAAAUCCGUAGAUAUCAGGAGGAACACCGGUGGCGAAGGCGGCCACCUGGACAGGUAUUGACGCUGAGGUGCGAAAGUGUGGGGAGCAAACAGGAUUAGAUACCCCCGUAGUC